rnacentral:rRNA from 1 species
AACUUAAAGGAAUUGACGGAAGGGCACCACCAGGAGUGGAGCCUGCGGCUUAAUUUGACUCAACACGGGGAAACUCACCAGGUCCAGACACAAUAAGGAUUGACAGAUUGAGAGCUCUUUCUUGAUUUUGUGGGUGGUGGUGCAUGGCCGUUCUUAGUUGGUGGAGUGAUUUGUCUGCUUAAUUGCGAUAACGAACGAGACCUUAACCUACUAAAUAGUGCUGCUAGCAUUUGCUGGUAUAGUCACUUCUUAGAGGGACUAUCGAUUUCAAGUCGAUGGAAGUUUGAGGCAAUAACAGGUCUGUGAUGCCCUUAGACGUUCUGGGCCGCACGCGCGCUACACUGACGGAGCCAGCGAGUAUAAACCUUGGCCGAGAGGUCUGGGAAAUCUUGUGAAACUCCGUCGUGCUGGGGAUAGAGCAUUGUAAUUAUUGCUCUUCAACGAGGAAUUCCUAGUAAGCGCAAGUCAUCACCUUGCGUUGAUUACGUCCCUGCCCUUUGUACACACCGCCCGUCGCUACUACCGAUUGAAUGGCUUAGUGAGGCUUCCGAAUUGGUUUAGAGAAGGGGGCAACUCCAUCUUGGAACCGAGAAGCUAGUCAAACUUGGUCAUUUAGAGGAAGUAAAAGUCGUAACAAGGUUUCCGUAGGUGAACCUGCGGA